rnacentral:rRNA from 1 species
AGAAUGAACGCUGGCGGCGUGCUUUACACAUGCAAGUUGAGCGAGGCCGGGUAGCAAUACCCGAGUCGAGCGGCGAACGGGUGAGUAACGCGUGGAUAACCUGCCCAGAAGUGGGGGACAACCCGGGGGAACUCGGGCUAAUACCGCAUAACACCGAAAGGUCAAAGGGGCCCGCAAGGGUCUCGCUACUGGAGGGGUCCGCGUUCGAUUAGCUAGUUGGUAGGGUAAUGGCCUACCAAGGCGACGAUCGAUAG